rnacentral:rRNA from 1 species
CCUACGGGAGGCAGCAGUGAGGAAUAUUGGUCAAUGGCCGUAAGGCUGAACCAGCCAAGUCGCGUGAAGGAAGAAGGAUCUCUGGUUUGUAAACUUCUUUUAUAGGGGAAUAAAGGUAUCCACGUGUGGAUAUUUGCAUGUACCCUAUGAAUAAGCAUCGGCUAACUCCGUGCCAGCAGCCGCGGUAAUACGGAGGAUGCGAGCGUUAUCCGGAUUUAUUGGGUUUAACGGGUGCGUAGGUUGUUUUUUAAGUCAGCGGUGAAAGUUUGGGGCUCAACCAUAAAAUUGCCGUUGAAACUGGAAGACUUGAGUGUGUUUGAGGUAGGCGGAAUGCGUGGUGUAGCGGUGAAAUGCAUAGAUAUCACGCAGAACUCCGAUUGCGAAGGCAGCUUACUAAGCCAUAACUGACACUGAAGCGCGAAAGCGUGGGGAGCAAACAGGAUUAGAUACCCGGGUAGUC